rnacentral:rRNA from 1 species
AGGGCUUCACACGUCAUAACAAUGGGUCGGGACAGGAGGGUCGACCCAACCCGCGAGGGGGAGCCAAUCCCAGAAACCCGAUCGUAGUCCGGAUUGCAGGCUGCAACUCGCCUGCAUGAAGUCGGAAUCGCUAGUAAUCGCGGAUCAGCAUGUCGCGGUGAAUACGUUCCCGGGUCUU